rnacentral:hammerhead_ribozyme from 1 species
AGCCGAAACGCCCUUCGGGGCGUCGGGCGUGGAUUGGUCCCCCGCCCCUGACGAGGCAGACCGAC